AAGGUUACACUGUCUCCUUUUUCUAAUCAGUAAAACUAAUCUUCCCGUGAAGAAGCGGGGAUCCUUAUAUAAGACGAGAAGACCCUAUGGAGCUUUAAACGAAAUAACAUCUACCAACUCAACCAACAAUUUCAGAAAAUUAAUACUAAACUUGGUAUAAUGAUUACUAGUUUUAGGUUGGGGUGACCGCGGAGCAAAAAACAACCUCCGCAUUGAAUGGACCUACACUCCUAAACAAAAAACCACAACUUUAUGUAUCAACAUAUUGACAUCCAUUGACCCAUUAAUUUGAUCAACGAACCAAGUUACCCUAGGGAUAACAGCGCAAUCCAUUUCAAGAGCCCCUAUCGACAAAUGG
rnacentral:rRNA from 1 species